rnacentral:rRNA from 1 species
AUUGAACGCUGGCGGCAGGCUUAACACAUGCAAGUCGAGCGGGGGAAGGUAGCUUGCUACCGGACCUAGCGGCGGACGGGUGAGUAAUGCUUAGGAAUCUGCCUAUUAGUGGGGGACAACAUCUCGAAAGGGAUGCUAAUACCGCAUACGUCCUACGGGAGAAAGCAGGGGAUCUUCGGACCUUGCGCUAAAUGAUGAGCCUAAGUCGGAUUAGCUAGUUGGUGGGGUAAAGGCCUACCAAGGCGACGAUCUGUAGCGGGUCUGAGAGGAUGAUACGCCACACUGGGACUGAGACACGGCCCCGACUCCUACGGGAGGAAGCAGUGGGGAAUAUUGGACAAUGGGCGGAAGCCUGAUCCAGCCAUGCCGCGUGUGUGAAGAAGGCCUUAUGGUUGUAAAGCACUUUAAGCGAGGAGGAGGCUACUAGUAUUAAUACUACUGGAUAGUGGACGUUACUCGCAGAAUAAGCACCGGCUAACUCUGUGCCAGCCGCCGCUGUAA